rnacentral:tRNA from 1 species
GCCUGUCUAGUUCAGUCAGUAGAACAUAUGACUUUUGCUCUCAGGGUCAUGAGUUCAAGCCCCACGUUGGGCA